rnacentral:rRNA from 1 species
ACGCACAGCGAAAGGUGCUUGCACCUUUCAGUGAGUGGCGAACGGGUGAGUAACACGUGGACAACCUGCCUCAAGGCUGGGGAUAACAUUUGGAAACAGAUGCUAAUACCGAAUAAAACUUAGUGUCGCAUGACACAAAGUUAAAAGGCGCUUCGGCGUCACCUAGAGAUGGAUCCGCGGUGCAUUAGUUAGUUGGUGGGGUAAAGGCCUACCAAGACAAUGAUGCAUAGCCGAGUUGAGAGACUGAUCGGCCACAUUGGGACUGAGACACGGCCCAAACUCCUACGGGAGGCUGCAGUAGGGAAUCUUCCACAAUGGGCGAAAGCCUGAUGGAGCAACGCCGCGUGUGUGAUGAAGGCUUUCGGGUCGUAAAGCACUGUUGUAUGGGAAGAACAGCUAGAAUAGGAAAUGAUUUUAGUUUGACGGUACCAUACCAGAAAGGGACGGCUAAAUACGUGCCAGCAGCCGCGGUAAUACGUAUGUCCCGAGCGUUAUCCGGAUUUAUUGGGCGUAAAGCGAGCGCAGACGGUUUAUUAAGUCUGAUGUGAAAGCCCGGAGCUCAACUCCGGAAUGGCAUUGGAAACUGGUUAACUUGAGUGCAGUAGAGGUAAGUGGAACUCCAUGUGUAGCGGUGGAAUGCGUAGAUAUAUGGAAGAACACCAGUGGCGAAGGCGGCUUACUGGACUGCAACUGACGUUGAGGCUCGAAAGUGUGGGUAGCAAACAGGAUUAGAUACCCUGGUAGUCCACACCGUAAACGAUGAACACUAGGUGUUAGGAGGUUUCCGCCUCUUAGUGCCGAAGCUAACGCAUUAAGUGUUCCGCCUGGGGAGUACGACCGCAAGGUUGAAACUCAAAGGAAUUGACGGGGACCCGCACAAGCGG